AUUGAACGCUGGCGGCAGGCCUAACACAUGCAAGUCGAGCGGAUGAAGGGAGCUUGCUCCUGGAUUCAGCGGCGGACGGGUGAGUAAUGCCUAGGAAUCUGCCUGGUAGUGGGGGAUAACGUCCGGAAACGGGCGCUAAUACCGCAUACGUCCUGAGGGAGAAAGUGGGGGAUCUUCGGACCUCACGCUAUCAGAUGAGCCUAGGUCGGAUUAGCUAGUUGGUGGGGUAAAGGCCUACCAAGGCGACGAUCCGUAACUGGUCUGAGAGGAUGAUCAGUCACACUGGAACUGAGACACGGUCCAGACUCCUACGGGAGGCAGCAGUGGGGAAUAUUGGGCAAAGGGCGAAAGCCUGAUCCAGCCAUGCCGCGUGUGUGAAGAAGGUCUUCGGAUUGUAAAGCACUUUAAGUUGGGAGGAAGGGCAGUAAGUUAAUACCUUGCUGUUUUGACGGUACCAACAGAAUAAGCACCGGCUAACUUCGUG
rnacentral:rRNA from 1 species